AACGAACGCUGGCGGCAUGCCUAACACAUGCAAGUCGAACGAUCUCUUCGGAGAUAGUGGCGCACGGGUGCGUAAAGCGUGGGAAUCUGCCCUUGGGUUCGGAAUAACUUCGGGAAACUGAAGGUAAUACCGGAUGAUGACGUAAGUCCAAAGAUUUAUCGCCCAAGGAUGAGCCCGCGUAGGAUUAGCUAGUUGGUGAGGUAAAGGCUCACCAAGGCUACGAUCCUUAGCUGGUCUGAGAGGAUGAUCAGCCACACUGGGACUGAGACACGGCCCAGACUCCUACGGGAGGCAGCAGUGGGGAAUAUUGGACAAUGGGCGAAAGCCUGAUCCAGCAAUGCCGCGUGAGUGAUGAAGGCCUUAGGGUUGUAAAGCUCUUUUACCCGGGAUGAUAAUGACAGUACCGGGAGAAUAAGCUCCGGCUAACUCCGUGCCAGCCGCCGCCGUAA
rnacentral:rRNA from 1 species